CCUACGUGUGGCAGCAGUCGAGAAUCAUUCACAAUGGGGGAAACUCUGAUGGUGCGACGCCGCGUGGGGGAAUGAAGGUCUUCGGAUUGUAAACCCCUGUUAUGUGGGAGUAAAUUAAAAAGCUAGUACCACAAUAGGAAUAGACUGCUAACUCUGUGCCAGCAGCCGCGGUAAUACAGAGGACUCAAGCUUUGUUCGGAUUUACUGGGCGUAAAGUGUGCGUAGGCUGGUUCGGAAGUCCUGUGUGAAAGGCGCGGGCUCAACCGGCGGAUGGCACAUGAUACUGGGAGACUAGAGUACUGGUGGGGGAGCCGGAAUUCGCGGUGUAGCAGUGAAAUGCGUAGAUAUCGAGAGGAACCCUCAUGGCGAAGGCAGGUUACUAAACAUUAACUGACGCUGAGGCACGAAGGCCUGGGGAGCGAAAGGGAUUAGAUACCCUUGUAGUC
rnacentral:rRNA from 1 species